UGGGUGAUUAGCUCAGCUGGGAGAGCACCUCCCUUACAAGGAGGGGGUCGGCGGUUCGAUCCCGUCAUCACCCACCAC
rnacentral:tRNA from 34 species